CCAGCCAGUACGAUGACAAAGAGGCGGUUCUCAUCACAAUGAAUCGGCCCAUGAUUUACUUUCAACCCAUUGCUCUCGAUAAAGCGGUCCUCGUCUGGCUUAACUACAAGAAUGCCUAUGAAUACUGGAAUGAGCAACGAGGAAGCUUAAAUAAAGAGGUGAGUCUCUUUUU